rnacentral:SRP_RNA from 1 species
GGUUGGGUCCUGCGCGGCGGAAACCUUCGAACCCCGCCAGGUCCGGGAGGAAGCAACGGUAAGGAGG